rnacentral:rRNA from 1 species
AUACGGAAGGUCCGGGCGUUAUCCGGAUUUAUUGGGUUUAAAGGGAGCGCAGGCGGAGAUGCAAGCGUGACGUCAAAUUUCGGGGCUCAACCCCGUCUCGCGUCGCGAACUGCGUCCCUUGGUUGCGGGUAGGGGAGGCGGAACUCGUGGGGUAGCGGGGAAAUGCAUAGAUAUCACGAAGAACUCCGAUCGCGAAGGCAGCCUUCCGGCCCGUCAACGACGCUCAUGCUCGAAGGUGCGGGUAUCAAACAGGAUUAGAUACCCUGGUAGUCCGCACAGUAAACGAUGGACACCCGCGGUUUGGCCUAUAUGGCUGAGCCGCCAAGCGAAAGCGUUAAGUGUCCCACCUGGGGAGUACGCCGGCAACGGUGAAACUCAAAGGAAUUGACGGGG